rnacentral:rRNA from 1 species
GUAUUAUAAAGCGAAACUGCGAACGGCUCAUUACAACAGAUAUAAUUUACUAGUUCUUGAUCCUAUAUGGAUAACUGCGGUAAUUCUGGAGCCAAUACAUGCAUCAAGCCUCGGCCUUCGGGUUCGGGGUGCAAUUAUUGGAGCAAAACCAGUCUCGUACUGUUUGCUAACUCUGGAUAAUUCUGCUUAUCGCAUGGUCUUGUACCGGCGAAAUUUCUUUCAAGUAUCUGCUUUAUCAACUAUCGUUGGUAGUUUAUUGGACUACCAUGGUGUUGACGGGUAACGGAGAAUCAGGGUUUGACUCCGGAGAGGGAGCCUUAGAAACGGCUACCAUGUCUAAGGAUAGCAGCAGGCGCGAAAAUUACCCAAUAUCAAAACGAUGAGGUAGUGACGAGAAAUAACGAGAUCGUUCUCUUUGAGGUCGAUUAUUGGAAUGAGUACAAUCCAGAAAUUUUAACGAGUACCUACGAGAGGGCAAGUCUGGUGCCAGCAGCCGCGGUAAUUCCAGCUCUCGUAAUGUAUAGAAUUAUUGUUGCGAUUAAAAAGUUCGUAGUUGGAUUGUCAAGCGGGCAUGGGUCCACCUUCGCGGUGCGUACUCAAUGUCCGCAUUUUGUUGGUUUUCGCGGCGUCGUUUCGGCGGCGUCCGCGUUGCCAGCAGGAUUACUUUGAACGGCUCAAGUGCUUAAAGCGAGUCUUAUGACUGAAUACCGGUGCAUGGAAUAAUGGAACAAGGUUGCGGCCGAGUUUUAUUGGUUUUGUCGGCUGAAACAAUGGUUAACAGGAACAGCCGGGGGCAUUCGUAUCGCUGCGCGAGAGGUGAAAU